GACGAACGCUGGCGGCGCGCCUAACACAUGCAAGUCGAACGGAGCUGAGAGAAGCUUGCUUUUCUUAGCUUAGUGGCGAACGGGUGAGUAACGCGUGAGUAACCUGCCCUGGAGUGGGGGACAACAGUUGGAAACGACUGCUAAUACCGCAUAAGCCCACGAUCCGGCAUCGGAUUGAGGGAAAAGGAUUUAUUCGCUUCAGGAUGGACUCGCGUCCAAUUAGCUAGUUGGUGAGGUAACGGCCCACCAAGGCGACGAUUGGUAGCCGGACUGAGAGGUUGAACGGCCACCUUGGGACUGAGACACGGCCCAGACUCCUACGGGAGGCAGCAGUGGGGGAUAUUGCACAAUGGGGGAAACCCUGAUGCAGCGACGCCGCGUGGAGGAAGAAGGUUUUCGGAUUGUAAACUCCUGUCGUUAGGGACGAUAAUGACGGUACCUAACAAGAAAGCACCGGCUAACUACGUG
rnacentral:rRNA from 1 species